CAUAAAAUAGCUUAAUUAAAGCAACUUGCCUACACCAAGAAGACAUCUGUUAAACCCAGAUUUUUAUGA
rnacentral:tRNA from 1 species